AUUUGGACAUAUUUUGUGUAAUAUCCAUUUUUUUCCGGUUAUUCUAAAUAAUUAUUACCGAUUAGAUAUUCUGUCAAGUGUCAAUAUUACCAUUGUAAGUUUAAUGAUAUAUACCAUUUUUAUAAUAGGCCCUAUGACAAUGGACUGGAAAAUUCACCUGCUUCAGUUCCCUCUUUCACAAAAUCAUACACUGUUUCAUUUCAAGCAUCUCAAUGUUUCAAUGCGGACAAUGCCCAAAACAGAGAUCAAGCCAUGCUCCAAUCCAGUCCAUGGAAAAAUUGUUGGGACAGGCGGUAGAAACUCUUAUGCUACAAGCUACGGCAUCUGCAACUUUCCACUGAUUAUAGUGAAAAUUCGGACAUACAGGAAUUGAUGAAAUUCAUAGUCAAUUCAUUGUCUGAUUACAUUUUGAUCCAGAAUACAUUCAAGGAUGAAAAAAUGGCUCAUAAGAUAUUUGUCAAGUCUCGGAGGUUGCUCCAAGAAAGACUGGAUUGGAGAAUCAUGAGCUCAGUUAUAACAAAUUUACUCGCCCGCUCUUUCAACUGUGCAGGACGCGGUGGAUAAGAAGGAGUGAGUGGGACGCCCUUAGUUUCUGCUAUUAAAGGUACCGCUCUGGAUGAUCUGGCAACGAACUCCGAUUAAUUUUAUUACAUGUAUACAUAUUUGUAAAAUAACGACAUUUUGUUAUCUUUUGUUUUUUAUUAUAUAAAUAAUGUUAGAUUAGUGGGAAAUUUCUAUGUAGUAUAGAUCCAUACCCUGUCUGUACAACACAUCGCCUAACUUGGCCCGACCAUGUGCCACGAUUGUAUUACAACGUGUCACCUACGUAGGCCCGGCCAUAUGUCACGAUCGUGUUACAACGUAUCGCCCACGUUGGACCGGCCAUAUUUCACGAUUGUGUUACAACGUAUCGCCUACGUUGGCCCGACCGUUUGUCACGGUUGCAUUACAGCGAAAGGACCGACGUUGGCCCAGCCGCCAAAUCUUCGCUGGAACAUGGUUGUUCGCCAUUAUUGGGCCGGUGGUUCGAACAACGUUCGGCCAUGGUUGUUCCGACGUAGUUGUGCUAUCUGGGGUAUCAAAUCAGCCCCUCAGCCUAAGAUAAGGUUCGAAUGUGCAGCUCUAAGAUUUUGGAGUAUCUAUAUUAAAAGAAUGGAUGGAGUGCUUCAGUCGCAAUAAAAAUUACUAGCUAAUUAUUGGUUAAAUACUGAAGUACUGCUGUGUAGCAAAAUCUCUUUUCAAGUCCCAUGUUUUGGCAAACUCAGAAGCUGCAAAUUUAUUGAAAAACAAAGAAAAAUGCCUGAAAUAAUUGUAAGUGAAAAAGAAGAUCUGAAAAUGGUCUGUUGUAAUCUGUUUAAGUUUUUUCAAACCUCGAUAAUAUCUAGCCAGAAUGAGUUUCUUUUUAGUAUAUUUAUUAUUGCGAAAAUAAGUUUGUAAUACUACUAAACUGCAUUUGUCAUGCUGGUGAAACAGUUUCACCACAUUCUAACCUCGUAUCCACUGAUAUAUAGUAGCAUAUAUAUAUAUAUUUUUCUCUCCAUAUAUUAUUAUUCACCAUCGCCUAAUGCCGAUAGAAAUUUAUUUGUAUUCAUGACUUAGGUAUUAAUUGACUUCAAAAUUGCCUAAUUACUGAAAUACCAGAAUAUGUAAUUCUGAGUCAGCUGUUACGAAUCAAAGUAAACUAGUAAGCUAUACUGAGAUGCUGGAGUUUUUUUAGAAUGAAAAUUAACUUUGCUUGACACACCUUUUGAUAAGUCGUUUUGGUCACCACACCUUUUAGUUUUAAUAACCCGAAAGUCGAAGGGGUUCUUCAGUCAUUUUUACUCGUAUUUUACCUUCAAUGCAGAAUACUAUUUAAAUUCUCUAUCGAAGCAUAUAUUUAUUUGCUGCAUCAAUUAUUCGAAAUGGCCACCAAUACUGACACAGUGAAUACUUGACACCAGACGUGAUAGACGAGUUGAUGCAUACUAAAAUGGAUGGGGCUCAGAAGCUGCAAAUUUAUCAAACGAAAUUAUAGAAAAAGUUGAUAACAAAGAAAGAAGAAAUGCCCGAAAAAAUUGCGAGUGAAAUAACUAGAUCUGGAAAUGAUAUCUUCCUUAGAGAUGCAAUUUUGUAAAAAAAAUGAAUUCCGCGGUAAUCCAGAGAAUGCCUGCCACACUUCUCAAGGAUCGUUGAUACCCCUCAUGAACAAAUGAUCAGAUUCACUUCCACUCUUGUGCCCAUCUCCAGAAUACUUGUUAUUCAUUCAGCGGUUCCAUUACAUUUGAACCCACGUACAUUUGAAUCCAUGACAAUUGCACCUGUAUGCUAUUGCACCUAUGGAAUUUUUUUUGUUUCACGGUUAGUUAAACCCAUACUAACCCUAACCAAUGGGUUUUAGCACCCGCAUAUAGAUUGAACCCGUGGAUAUACGCAUGGGUUCAAAUGUACGGUCACCUCAUUCAGCAUAUCUACAUUGAAUUUUCCAAAGAAGCUUGUGAAAAUCCCAAUAAUAUUUAGUUUAAUACAGUUGCUGCAGAUGUUUUUGCUGGACAAUAUUUCAGAAACUUUGUAAUACACAUUGGAAAGCAGUGUGAUGUAGAAUUGUCAGAUGAUAUAGAACGAGUGAUAUUAUACGAAUAUUGUCUUACACAUUUACAAAAAAGCUUUUUUUACAUAUGCUAGAAUCUAUUUUGCUUUCUUUUCAAUUCGCUAAUGCUUUGGCCGAAAUAAACUGUACUUCAAUUGAAUCCACCGCGGACUGGAAUAAGAUGUUGGCCCUUCGAAAAGGGUUAGGUAUUUUAUUCCUAAUAUGAGGGUUGAAUAGAUGGUAUUAUGGAGGUGACAUGUUUGUAUUUAAACUGCCGGCCGAUAUUGGUAACAAGCCAACACCACGACAAGGUUUCGACCACUGUGUUGGGAUUUAUCCUUGCAUAGAUAGGCAGAAUCGCUAUGCAAGGAAAACACAUGAAUGAACGACUAACUUGAAUUUUUUUCGUGAUUUUUUUAAUCGGGAGAGGAUCAUUGCACACUGUUGUCCGACCAUUCGCUUCCCCAUACGUGGUUGGUUCAAAAAAUUAGUUAGGAAUAAGAAAAACUUCCAUACCAUGAUUGUAGGGUUUUUCUACUUACUAUCCAUGAUUCACAAUAAAUAGAUACCUUUGAAAAUUGAAUGAAAUAACACUUUACAAACUUAAAGCAUAACAGCAUCUACUAUACACAGUAUGACAUCGAAAAUUCUUCUCUCAUAAACAUUUUUACUAUCAAUAGACAAUGAGUUCCACUCAGCAUGACCAAUAACAUUUGGAGCAACAUUAACACAAUUUUGUUUGAAAAAUGUCUCUAACAUAAAUGAUAUUUCCUUUUAUCCAAUUCUCUACAUGUUCUGGGUAAAUAUACAAUGGGAUAAGAGGAUUCCACCACAAUAUUUUAUUCACUAUUUAUAUUUUUAUCAAAUACAACUUUUCUUGAAAAGUUCAAACUUUAUUGGUUGAUUUUACUAUUUUUAAAAUUAUGAUUAGAAAGAUGAAGCGUUUCUAAAUUUUAGGUCACCAGCCGUUUUCCAUAAUUAUUUAUAAAUACUCUUGCUCUUGGGCCCCAAUAAAUUUUAGUAACCAAAAUAUUCAUUUAAUUUGAAUAUUUUUAAUUUGUGUUACCAUAUCCAUACAACCUAAUCCACAAUACGGUUUACUACAGCAAUAUAUUUUUCUAGUCACUAACUUACGUUUUCCAUCCCACUGUCCCAUAUAAAACUCCAAAUUAGUUUAGUGACAUUUUUUGAAAUAUCCAUUGCUGCAUUGGGACACAUUCAAAUGCAGAUAGGUACCAUACCUUUGAUAACAUAAAAGUCUUGGCCAUAAUAAUUUUGCCAGUCAUGAUCUUAUUUCUGUUUUUCAAAAUAUUGAAUGUCUGAAUGUGUUACAGAUUUUUUCUUGCACUUAAACUCAACUUUCUUCUAUGGCAUUUUCAGUAUUUCCCAUUCACGAACCAAGAAUUUUUAUUUUAUCUUUAGAUACUGUAAUCCCACAAAUUCCAAAUAGUUGGUUUUGCUUUAAAGGUCGCAAAAUAAAAUCUGUGAUUUUCAUUAUUAAUCCAGUAAUCAGUGUUCCAAUCCUCUUACACUUACAGUCUUCCAAUCCUAAAUUUAUCUGCUAAGUCAGUAAGUAUCCAUUCGUGAGAAUAGCAGCGUUAGUUUUGCUACACAGUGUUUUUGUCAUAGAUAUGAAGUUUUUUUUCCAAACUUGAAUCGUUCCAUAAUUCUCCAUAAAAAUAUCCGGGUCUAGUGAA